rnacentral:rRNA from 1 species
AGACCCGAAACCCGGUGAUCUAGCCAUGGGCAGGUUGAAGGUUGGGUAACACUAACUGGAGGACCGAACCGACUAAUGUUGAAAAAUUAGCGGAUGACCUGUGGCUGGGGGUGAAAGGCCAAUCAAACCGGGAGAUAGCUGGUUCUCCCCGAAAGCUAUUUAGGUAGCGCCUCGUGAAUUCAUCUCCGGGGGUAGAGCACUGUUUCGGCUAGGGGGCCAUCCCGGCUUACCAACCCGAUGCAAACUGCGAAUACCGGAGAAUGUUAUCACGGGAGACACACGGCGGGUGCUAACGUCCGUCGUGAAGAGGGAAACAACCCAGACCGCCAGCUAAGGUCCCAAAGUCAUGGUUAAGUGGGAAACGAUGUGGGAAGGCCCAGACAGCCAGGAUGUUGGCUUAGAAGCAGCCAUCAUUUAAAGAAAGCGUAAUAGCUCACUGGUCGAGUCGGCCUGCGCGGAAGAUGUAACGGGGCUAAACCAUGCACCGAAGCUGCGGCAGCGACGCUUAUGCGUUGUUGGGUAGGGGAGCGUUCUGUAAGCCUGUGAAGGUGGCCUGUGAGGGUUGCUGGAGGUAUCAGAAGUGCGAAUGCUGACAUAAGUAACGAUAAAGCGGGUGAAAAGCC